rnacentral:rRNA from 1 species
GAUGAACGCUGGCGGCGUGCCUAAUACAUGCAAGUCGAGCGAACGGGCGAGAAGCUUGCUUCUCUGAUGUUAGCGGCGGACGGGUGAGUAACACGUGGAUAACCUACCUAUAAGACUGGGAUAACUUCGGGAAACCGGAGCUAAUACCGGAUAAUAUUUUGAACCGCAUGGUUCAAAAGUGAAAGACGGUCUUGCUGUCACUUAUAGAUGGAUCCGCGCUGCAUUAGCUAGUUGGUAAGGUAACGGCUUACCAAGGCAACGAUGCAUAGCCGACCUGAGAGGGUGAUCGGCCACACUGGAACUGAGACACGGUCCAGACUCCUACGGGAGGCAGCAGUAGGGAAUCUUCCGCAAAGGGCGAAAGCCUGACGGAGCAACGCCGCGUGAGUGAUGAAGGUCUUCGGAUCGUAAAACUCUGUUAUUAGGGAAGAACAUAUGUGUAAGUAACUGUGCACAUCUCGACGGUACCUAAUCAGAAAGCCACGGCUAACUACGUG